CUGUAAGAUGCUUUCAGUGUGAAGUAAGCCACUGAAUAAUGCAAGAUCAUCAAGCAGGAAGCAAGAAGAAACAAUGAACAGCAAGUUUAUCCUCACUUCACUCCUAGCACUGGCCCUUCCAGGGCCCAGGAGAGCAGACUGGAUCAGACCCCAAGAGACAGAAGUAUUUCAGACAGAAGGGAAGAAUGUAAACUUCCUUUGCACUUACAGUGCUUCAUCCACAAAAGCUGUUGAUCUCUACUGGUUUCGACAGUAUCCAAAUCAGGCACCAGAAUAUAUUCUCUACAGAGGAUGGGGACACUCUGGAAAAGGAGAUGCCAGUUUUGCCGCAGAAAGGUUUUAUUCGAAGAGUACAGCAAAUUCGGUAAACCUGUACAUCAGAAACGUGGUUCCCGCGGAUGCUGCUCUGUACUAUUGUGCGCUGAGAGUGGCACAAAGAGAACCCAUCAUAGGGGAGCCGUACAAGAACCCCGUGCACAGCAGGGAGAAGGCGGAACACCCAAAACCACACUGACUUUUUUUUUUCUGCAGAAGACGUCAUGGCAGUUAGGAGACAAUGAAUCAGGAGAAUUCUGCUCUAGCUAUACAGGAGUAAUAGCCAUACAAAUGUAGGCAUAUAGCUUAAGCGUUUAUAUUUCAGUGUUCUGAAAUUAGAGAUAAUAACUCCACUUUUUAAGCUGUUAUGAGACAUAACUUUAACACUUGGCUGAAGUGCCUGGCA